AGAGUUUGAUUAUGGCUCAGGAUGAACGCUAGCUACAGGCUUAACACAUGCAAGUCGAGGGGUAGCAGGGUAGCAAUACCGCUGACGACCGGCGCACGGGUGAGUAACACGUAUCCAACCUUCCCAUAACUCAGGGAUAGCCUUUCGAAAGAAAGAUUAAUACCUGAUAGUACUUUUUCAAGGCAUCUUGAGAAAGUUAAAGAUUUAUGGUUAUGGAUGGGGAUGCGUUCCAUUAGAUAGUUGGUGAGGUAACGGCUCACCAAGUCUUCGAUGGAUAGGGGUUCUGAGAGGAAGGUCCCCCACAUUGGUACUGAGACACGGACCAAACUCCUACGGGAGGCAGCAGUGAGGAAUAUUGGUCAAUGGGCGAGAGCCUGAACCAGCCAAGUAGCGUGAAGGAUGAAAGGUCCUAUGGAUUGUAAACUUCUUUUAUAGUAGAAUAAAGUGAUCCACGUGUGGAUUUUUGUAUGUAUACUAUGAAUAAGGAUCGGCUAACUCCGUGCCAGCAGCUGC
rnacentral:rRNA from 1 species